ACUUCCGGUUUCCUUUCCCUCAGCUAUUCCAUGGCUUUUCGUGUGGACAAAUCGGGAGGUGGUGUAAACUGGUUUUUGGUGAAAUUCGGCUCGGCCUCAUGCGAACCUAUCUAGGUCCGUCUCUGGAGUGGCCUGUCAUCGAUCGCGCCCUCCAUCGCUGAGCGACACAAGUGGAACCCCCCAGGACUGCAUUCUGCUUUUGGUCUGUGAACACAUUUGGGAAAUUCUUCUGAUCCUACCGCUACUCUCUUGAGAGAGAGAAACAAGGGAAAAAAAAGUUAAUUGCCUGAGGAUAUACUGCUAGUGUUGCGGGACAAAUAGAGACGGGAGAGGCCAAACAGAAUUCAGGACAACCCUUUAUUAUUAAGCGCGCUAGGGAGGGAAGCAGGAACUCGUGGUGCCUCAAGGAACGUGAAACGGUGGAACACAGAUAAGCCUCUCCGUGCGUAGAGGAGAAAUAAGCGGUUAAUAUUCUCUCUUAACCCAGGCCUCCGGAGGGUGGGGGGCUAUAUUUCAUUCUACCUCUAAGGAAAAGAAUAAACUUCU
rnacentral:lncRNA from 1 species